rnacentral:sRNA from 1 species
AUGAGGAUGCCUUCAGUUUCUCAGACCCAUUGAUAAAGAACUCCUCUUGUGUUUGACAGGUCCAGUCUGUGCCGGUGUGGUGGGUCACAAGAUGCCACGCUACUGUCUAUUCGGUGAUGCGGUAAACAUUGCGUCCCGCAUGGAGUCCAAUGGGAGCGAGUCCAAAAUUCAUACCAGUUUGAGUACAGCCAAAAUAUUGAAGACAUUUGGAACAUUUAUUCUUGAAUCUAGAGGUGUUGUAUCUAUUAAGGGCAAAGGGAAAAUGGAGACUUUCUGGUUGAUCGGAGAAAAUGUCUAAGUGUCAAGGAAUGGUGACCAAACACGUGACCCGUGGGAUGUUCUAGAUCUACUUUAGACAGACUAGAAAUUCUACACAGCAAUCUUUUGAACCUGGUCAUGGCAGACGUGGCAAGAAGCACCAUGCUACAUUAUGUCUGAUAUUUACUUAAAAUCAUUGCAUCGAUUAAAGAGACUCAUGGUUCUGUCACUGGGUGUGUCCACUGCUGUACAGGCACAUUAUACUCCACUAAAUCUACUAGUUAAGUAGCGAACAGACAGAUUGUAUGGAUACAGUUUCGUUUUUGAAGUGCAUCUAAAGAUAUAAAUAGUGAUGUUUUUUGUUAAAGAUAUUAUGAAUAGAUUGAUAAACACAAUUAGUGCCAUCCUUACAAAUAGUGGGUUGGAGUGUUUCAUUGUGAAAUCUCUUGGUUAAUUUUAUGUUCUACUGAGCCGGCAUAUCUACAUAUACAAAUGUAACGAUUUAACUUAAUAAAAACUUAAAAAAAAUAUAAGUGUAUAUUUACAUAAGUAUUGUUAAUUGU